AUUCAUUCUCUUCCGAAAUCUAAAUUAUUGGUAAUCUCAGGCCAAUCCAAAACAUCUCAUGUAGAAGCAUUGUGACCUUAUGGCACAUGAGCAUGAAUCGCAGUAAUCUUAGACACAUUAACAACUUUUGCAGAACGUAAAGCCCUUAACAUUUCCAUUCACACUUCUGUUCAAAAAAAUAAUGGUAUGUUGUCACAUAGCUCCAAAAAUAUAUUUAAUCCUGCUCGUUAACACGAUAUAGAUAGUUGUUUCGAGAGGGAAUGGUCCUCUAUACUUGUCCAAAAUAAUCAACUGUUUUGGUCUGCAAUUUUGAAUAAUAGAAUAAUUUAACAAAUUUUGGUUCUGACUUUUGUACCAUGUAUUCUACUGCACCACAUUUCACAUAGCAUACGCAGUUUCUUUUCAUUUCACAUAGCAUACGCUGUUUUUUUCCCAG